GGAUCAAUUGAUUGGUCAUGCCUACGGUAUGUACUAGUCAUAUUGGUUCUCACCUUCUAAUGAACCUUAAUGUCAUUCACUUGAUGUUUUGGGGAAUUAGGACUGUUACCUUGAAAAAAUUAGAGUGUUUAAAGCAGGCAUCCGCUUGAAUACAUUAGCAUGGAAUAACAGAAUAAGACU
rnacentral:rRNA from 1 species